rnacentral:rRNA from 1 species
AGAGUUUGAUCCUGGCUCAGGAUGAACGCUGGCGGCGUGCUUAACACAUGCAAGUCGAGCGGAAAUAUUUUAAAUGAAGGCUUCGGUUGGAAUUUAUAAUAUUUUAGCGGCGGACGGGUGAGUAACGUGUGGGUAACCUGCCAUAUACUGGGGAAUAAUCAUUUGAAAAGAUGACUAAUACCGCAUGUCGUCACUAAGGGGCAUCUCUUGGUGAAAAAAGGAGUAAUCCGGUAUAUGAUGGACCCGCAUCUGAUUAGCUAGUUGGUGAGAUAACAGCUCACCAAGGCGACGAUCAGUAGCCGACCUGAGAGGGUGAUCGGCCACAUUGGGACUGAGACACGGCCCAAACUCCUACGGGAGGCAGCAGUGGGGAAUAUUGCACAAUGGGCGAAAGCCUGAUGCAGCAACGCCGCGUGAAGGAAGAAGGGUUUCGGCUCGUAAACUUCUAUCAAUGGGGAAGAAACAAAUGACGGUACCCAAAUGAGAAGCCCCGGCUAACUACGUGCCAGCAGCCGCGGUAA